UUUGUGCCCAACACCUUCAUACUAUCAGCUUUAAGACGUUUCCUUUCUCUAUAUCUGCGUUGACGCUCCCGAUUUUUUAGCCUCUUAGCCAAAAUGUCAUCACUGACUAAGGUUUUCGGCCCAUUAUCCUGAGGUUUCUUCACAGGAACAUCCAUUCUUGAAGUUCAAUUAUCGGUUCAAACUAACAAGAAACCAGCAUUUGCAGACAAACUUCUUCACACGGUAAAAUACUUGUUUAUUCCAA
rnacentral:misc_RNA from 1 species